CUUGGGGAAACCAGCUUUAAAGAGGAGGAUAGAUUGCUCUGAGGAAAACUGGAUGUGAGUGGAUGGGGCCUCUUUAAAGAAAAUUAAGAGGCCAUAGAUCAGAGGAGAAAAUGCUAAUUCAAAGGCCAGGCAUGGCAUGGUUGAAAGCUUCAGAUGCUAUGAUUCCUUUCAAAGAAUUUCUUGAGUCUAUGCAGUUUUCAAUUCAUUAAGGUCAGUCCAAGAAUAUUUGCAGCUUGAUCUAUCUGCCCAUCCAGGGGACAGUUUUCCAGUUUUGAAGAGACCUGUUGGGAUAAAUGCAUUCAAGAUAAUAGCAUUGGGACAGGACAAAAGCCACAUCAUUGUAAAAAUGCCUUCAACCUGAAACAUUCUGAUGGAACUAUGCAUGAACAAUGGACACACACUGCCUAAUGUGGGAUGGAACAGUAGCUGGUGGACCGCGGCAUUCUCUGGAUUCGUGGUAAGAAACUCACCCUCCCUCCGAGAAGUCCAUCAGUUAAUAUUAACAAGCAGAAAGAGCAAGAACAACUUGGCAGGAAGCUCUGGAUUUCCCCCAGACUCUGAGUCAGGAGGUCAUCCAGGAAGGAGUCUGGCUGUAAAGUACACCUAUCUUCCUGUGAUGAGAGUGACGACCGGGGUGACUGGAAGCAGAGUGUAGCCUGCUCUCCUUUGGGAAACAAACACCCGC